rnacentral:rRNA from 1 species
CAGUAGCCGCGGUAAUACGUAGGGUGCGAGCGUUAAUCGGAAUUACUGGGCGUAAAGCGUGCGCAGGCGGUUAUGUAAGACAGUUGUGAAAUCCCCGGGCUCAACCUGGGAACUGCAUCUGUGACUGCAUAGCUAGAGUACGGUAGAGGGGGAUGGAAUUCCGCGUGUAGCAGUGAAAUGCGUAGAUAUGCGGAGGAACACCGAUGGCGAAGGCAAUCCCCUGGACCUGUACUGACGCUCAUGCACGAAAGCGUGGGGAGCAAACAGGAUUAGAUACCCCCGUAGUCCCUGUCUCUUAUAC